GCGAGCUUCACGUGAUUCUAGAUUGAAUAAAGAUGAGCCCAUUUCAGGUGAUCCAACCAAGAAGAGGUCGACUCCGUUAGAUAAUGAAGAUCCAUCUAAUAAUUAUGAUCUAACUACAAAAAGGGUUUAUUAUGGUCCAAAUAAUCACAGUCACACAGCUCCAGUUGAGAGAAAUGAUUCUGGGAAAGAAUAUGUCAACGGGGU
rnacentral:misc_RNA from 1 species